rnacentral:rRNA from 1 species
AGUGAACGCUGGCGGCAGGCCUAACACAUGCAAGUCGAGCGGAAGAAGGGAGCUUGCUCGUGGAUUCAGCGGCGGACGGGUGAGUAAUGCCUAGGAAUCUGCCUGGUAGUGGGGGAUAACGUCCGGAAACGGGCGCUAAUACCGCAUACGUGCUGAGGGAGAAAGUGGGGAAUCUUCGGACCUCACGCUAUCAGAUGAGCCUAGGUCGGAUUAGCUAGUUGGUGGGGUAAAGGCCUACCAAGGCGACGAUCCGUAACUGGUCUGAGAGGAUGAUCAGUCACACUGGAACUGAGACACGGUCCAGACUCCUACGGGAGGCAGCAGUGGGGAAUAUUGGACAAUGGGCGAAAGCCUGAUCCAGCCAUGCCGCGUGUGUGAAGAAGGUCUUCGGAUUGUAAAGCCCUUUUGGUUGGGAAGAAGGGCAGUAAGUUAAUACCUUGCUGUUUUGACGUUACCAACAGAAUAAGCACCGGCUAACUUCGUG